CACUGUCAUCCACGAAAGGGGCAGCCCUGAAACCCUGAGGGACCCUCGAGGUUUUGCUGUGAAGUUCUACACAAGAGAGGUAAGGGAAUUUUGGCAACAGAUAGAAGUCUGCAGUUUGGAAGAGCACAAGUUUGAUGCUCACUGUGAUAGACCCUUUCACAGGGAGCCUAGGCUCAAUCAAUGCAUGUGCUAUAGAUGUGUGGUCAGUAAGAGCUAACUGCUUUUCAUAUCCCAUUCUGCUGAAGCAUGGUUGCAUCUAUAAAUUUCAAUAGAAUAUACUUGGCUCAUUUUUUGAUUAGUACCUAUCUACUAAGAGACAUCAUAUUAAUAAUUGCUGCUAUGGUAUUGAAUCCACUUUGACACUUGAAUUGGGGAGAUGGCAGGUCUCUUGUACACAUUGCAUAUAUUUGUUUUGUGAUCUUGCCUUUUCUGUUACUGCAGGGUAACUUUGAUCUGGUGGGAAACAAUUUCCCUGUCUUCUUUGUCCGUGAUGGGAUGAAAUUCCCGGAUAUGGUUCAUGCACUUAAACCAAACCCCAAAUCCCACAUCCAGGAGAACUGGAGGAUCGUUGACUUUUUCUCCCACCAUCCCGAGAGCUUGCACAUGUUCACCUUCCUCUUUGAUGAUAUUGGUAUUCCCCAAGAUUACAGGCACAUGGAGGGCUCUGGAGUUAACACCUACACCUUGAUCAACAAGGCCGGAAAAGUGCAUUAUGUGAAGUUUCACUGGAAACCAACUUGCGGGGUCAAGAACUUGCUGGAGGAAGAGGCAAUUAGAGUUGGGGGAUCCAAUCACAGCCAUGCGACUCAGGAUCUUUAUGAUUCCAUUGCUGCUGGAAACUAUCCUGAAUGGAAACUUUUCAUUCAGAUCAUCGAUCCUGAUCAUGAAGACAAGUUUGACUUUGACCCACUUGAUGUGACUAAGACCUGGCCCGAAGAUAUAUUGCCCCUAAUGCCAGUUGGCCGCUUGGUCUUGAAUAGGAACAUUGAUAACUUCUUUGCUGAGAAUGAACAGCUUGCAUUUUGCCCUUCAAUUGUGGUUCCUGGGGUCUUCUACUCAGAUGAUAAGCUGCUCCAAACUCGUAUCUUCUCGUAUUCUGAUACUCAGAGGCACCGUCUUGGACCAAAUUAUCUUCAACUCCCCCCCAAUGCUCCUAAAUGUGCUCAUCACAACAAUCACCAUGAAGGUUUCAUGAAUUUCAUGCAUAGGGAUGAAGAGGUAAGAAUCUUCUUUGAAUCCUGCCGCAGCAAUACUCUGGGCAGCAAAUCUGGUGGAUUUUUGGUUGGUGUAACUAAGUUAACAUCACGCUUUCCUUGACAUAUGAAGGCGUUGUGAUGCAAUCUGACAUGUCAAUUAUUGAUCCCAAAGUGGCAGUGCAAAUGUCCUCUCUCCUUUUGUUGUGUGACUAGAUGUAUGUGUGUUUACAUAUGUAGGAAAUACCUGUCUGCUAUUAUGUAAGAAGAUUAUCUGUUGAGCAAAUGCUUAUUUUCCCUUUUGCAGAUAAACUAUUUUCCAUCAAGGUACGAUCCUGUUCGUCAUGCAGAGAGAUAUCCCAUUCCAACUGCUAUGCUGACUGGAAAGCGUGAAAAGGUUUGUUUCCUAGGAUCUCUUUUACUUGAACAGAAAUUGGUUGUCUUGAGGUGCUUUCAUGGUGAUAUUGAUGGGAUAGACUCAGCUUGUCCAGUAGAUAAUCAAUUGAAUUGCAGUUACUUGUGUGACUAGAUGUAUGUGUGUUUGGAUUUUGUUAACUUUUGUUGCUCCAAACAGACCAUCAUUGAGAAAGAGAACAACUUCAAGCAGCCUGGAGAGAGAUACCGAUCAUGGACACCUGACAGGUAUCCUUCAGUUGUGCAUAUCCUGAUAAUGGUUUGAUGGUCUCAUGUUUCUCAAUCAUUUGUCUCUAUCUUCUUUUUUCAGGCAAGAGCGGUUCAUCUGCCGAUGGGUCGAUGCUUUGUCUGACCCACGCAUGAGAUCCGCAGCGUCUGGAUUUCAUACUGGUCUCAGGUGAGAUAGCUGUUUACUUCUUGUCUAGCCUGAUGGAGCUGGAGCGGGUUAAAGUGAAAAAUGUAAUAUUUAACAUGCAGAAAUGGGGGAUUCGGUUGUUGCUUGCUUUGUGAGAUACACACACACACACACAUGCAGAUGUGAUAAUGAACUCAUUUGAGAUUACUUGCAAUUGCAACAGGCCGACAAAUCUCUGGGUCAGAAAUUAGCAUCUCGGCUCAAUGUGCGACCAAGCAUUUAAGGACCAGACAAAGCUGGAUGUUCUGGGAUGGAUCAAGCACAAAAUGAUGUCCGACCUAUAAAACUCUGUUCCAAUGCUUAUUUUUUGUUGUGGUAUAUUGAACUUGCCCUGUCAUACAAACUCUCUGGCAACAUGAUAUUCCUGAUUUAAUAAAUGCCAAAUGCCAAUUGCAUGUGCUGAUCUUACUCCUCUGUGGUUGGUUAUCACUUUCUCCUGAAGUCUCAUCUACAUAAAAUAUUAAGUGAGCAGAUCGUAUUGCCGGUAAUAUCAUCAUGCAUUUGAUUACGGGUGGUAAAUUCAACCUCCUCACUGCUCUCAAGCACAUCAGUGAAAGUAUGCUGUUUACUGCGCCUUCUGCUAUGUGGGACGAGAAGUUAGAAUUAAGAGUUAAUUUGCCUCCAUUCUUUUGACGGUGGAUUGUGCUUGAGUGACAGUACCAACUCAUCGUUCCUGCAAACAAUAGAGUAAAUCGAGUUCUGUUACAUUUAGCAAUGCAGGCAUUAGCUCAUGGAGGACGGCACGUUAGGACUAUCUUCGGAUCUCUGCUUCAUAAAAGGGCAAAUUAACUUGGAAGGUGCCUGAGAGACCAGAAGAUCGAUAAAUCAAUCUCACAAAUAAUUCGAAUGCAUCUCUGUUGAAACGUUUGAUCAUGUGUGGAACUCCAGUCUAGACAACUGUACACACAAAUUUGGCCGUGAAGAGCCAACCCCACCUGCACUGCGAUCCGUGACAAAAAUUUAACAAGAGAACCGCCUUUAGAGUUGCUGACAUUCUACUUGCAAAUUUCUACCGCCUGAGUUGCAUAUCUUACUAAAUAAGUUGAAAUUUCCAUCUCAAUAAGUCCUCGACACCGCGGAUGGGGAGUAUUGACUUUCAGAUCCACGAGACUGUCGGCACUAUGAUUGUGAUGAAUUGGUAAUCAAUGGUGGUUGUGAUGAUGCUGGUGAGAAGAAGGUGGACUCGAUGCGCCAGCCUUGGUCUCCUUCUUCUCCCGAAUGGUGUUGAUAUGUUCUAAUGUCGCCAACACUUUAUCCAUCGAGGGCCUCGCUUUAGGCUCAUCCUCCAGGCAUUUGAAGGUGAGCCCAGCUGCCUGAGUUGCAGCUUCCAGAGGGUAUCGUCCUUCUAAUCUCGGAUCCAUUAUCUUCCUCAGCUUCCUCUUGUUGUGGAGCAACGGCCUUGCCCAUUCCACCAGAUUCUGCUGGCCGCUGGGGCGGGUAUUGUCGAGCGCUUGUAAACCCGUCAACAUUUCUAGGAGAAUCACCCCGAAACGGUAUACAUUGUUCUUCACAUACAGAUGUUCUGUCAAAUUGAGCCUUUAUCAUUCUGACAUGCAUUUUUAACAAUCACAUGAAAUCUUCGCUAAAGAUGAAGAAGCAUAUGAGAGGGAGAUCUCUAUGAACAGCACAGCAAUAAGAUCAUUUCGCAGAACACCUGCCAAGUAAUCUCGUAAUCUUCUAAAGAGCAUUGUUGUCACCGAUCCAAAAUCGCCCGCGGACAGGAUCUCUGUAUUACUGGUGGCAGAGUACUCAGGAGCCGCAUAGCCAUCCAUCUCGAUCGCUCGGGUGGUCACAUAAGAGUUCCCACCCACUGGUCCCUGUUUUGCUAGCCCGAAAUCCGAGAGCUUGGCAUUGUAGUCCUGGUGCCACAACGAGAGAAAGUGAACGAAGUUUCUCAAUUAAUCCCCAAGAAUGGUAGUUCUACAUCCGGGUAUCAUCUAAUAAUCACAGGCAUUUAUCAAGUAAAUUCCAUUCACAUGGACCACGUGAUCUAAAGACUCCUCCGCAUAAAUCUAAAGUAUCCGGUGCAUCAAAUGUACCAAGACAAUACCAACCAAAAUUGAGAUGCUUUAAAGUGAAAUUUGAGCUUUGUAUAGUUUGAGGCGAUGUGGGCAACAUUUAUAUGGUAUCCUUAAAAAUAAGUUCUCAAUAGCUGGAAAAAACAAAUGAAAAUAAUCAAGUAGAUAGAAAAAUUUACCUCAUCCAAUAAUAUAUUGGAAGAUUUAAAAUCCCGGUAGAUGACGUUAUUCUCGGGUGUACGCAAGAAUUCAAGCCCACGGGCAGCUCCGAUGGCUAUUUUAAGCCUCACGUCCCACGGAAGUGGUCCAGCUUUCCCUGAAUUACCAUGAGCAUUUUUUUUUUCCUUUUGCUGUCUGAUAUCCGAGUGAAAAAAAAAAGGUGAUGCUUAGCAAAAAAAAAAGCCGGUAAUGCAAAUGAUCUUACUUUUGAAAAGGUGAUUUUCUAGGCUUCCCCUCUUCAUGUACUCGUACACGAGUAGGUAGUGAUCGUCUUCCCAGCAAUACCCCAGUAAUCUCACCAAAUUUGGAUGAGAAACUUUCCCCAAGAACUUGACUUCCGACUGUGGAAAGAUAACAAAAAUAGAAUUUAUUGUUAACCAACGCACAUAAAAUUGUGUCGAAAAUUUCGCCAUCUUUUGCACGAGCUAGUGUGAGUUCAAUAAAUUAUGUGCAGCAAUUUGUGCUUUUUACUAUACUAGAAAGUAUGUCUUUAUAGGCCUAAAUCAUAGGGAAAAUUUCGGAGUAUGGUCUAUAACGGGACUGUUUUCUCAGAAAAAUGAUUCAUCAUAAAUCUUGUGUUAAAUAAGGUCAUGAAAGUCUCAACUUAGUCACAUAUAAGACCGGAGCUUACCAGUUGGGUAGAUCUUUGUCAAAGGGCGAGCCCAUGCAUCUAUAUGCAUCUCUCUUGCAAAUACAUGAGCUCAUUGGUAUUGAAAAUUUGGCCAACCAGUAAGUUAGGGUCUAACCAAACUUGCAACCAAACUUGCCACCUUAAGGUUUUAUUUGAGGUAUAAUUCAUCUCAUUACUUUAAAAAAAAAAUGGUCUCAUUUCAGAUUUUUAUUUGAAAACUUAAAUGGUGUGGUUUGUUUCAAAAGGACAGGGUAAAUUAGCAGGAGGUUGGUCAGAAGGCAACAGAGCACAAGUAAUUAUUAAUCCUUACUCUAGUCAAUAUGAACUCUCGAGUCUGAGAGUCGGGUUUCCGGCGCCCUCCGAAGCGGAAACAAUUUAUAAUUGAAAUAUUUUUUGGUCAAGAAUUGGACACAAAGAAAAAGAACUUCACAAUUAGUUAAAAGGAAAUCACUCAUUUCGAAAUGACCUUUUCAAUCCGGAAAAAAAGAAAAAAUCUUUAGUAUGUCCUCUCCCCCUCUUACUGAAGGAGGGGUCAACUGUUGCAAAUUGUCCAGGUCGUCUUUGGCUUCUCAUCGCUGAUUAGCAUGUGCUUUAUUUUCAAUUCGAGUGAGAAGCAUUGUGUCGUAUGGAUCGAGCGGGAGAGGAUGGAAUUUUAGUAUGAAUGUUAAGUACGCACCUGCCAUUGGCGCAAGCCCUGAUCGCCGUUGAGAUUGGACUUCUUGACGGCCACCGGGAUGCCGCUGCCGACCUCGGACGGGGCGAGCGUCCUCUCGUCCACCCAGCCCUUGAACACCCUUCCGAACCUGUCCUCCCCGAGCAUCGUGUCCGGCCUGAAGUUCCGGGUCGUGCUCUUCAGCUCCGCCAGCGUGUACAUUUUGAGGUAGGGCGUUAUCACCUCCCCGACUUUCGCCGUGGCUGGAGGUUCAUCCUUGCCACUGCCACUUGCCGCCGCCUUCUUGUUCUUGCUUCCCACCAACGCAUCUCGCUUUACCUUUGGGUUCUUAGCAAGAGCUUCUAUAAAAUUACCAAAAAAAAAAAAAAAAAAAAGAGGUGAAAUGUGAACUUAGCUUACAUCUAUCGGAAAGUAACGAUAAUAAAUAGUAGAUGAAAGUAUAGUUUAUUAUUUAAAAUUUUUAACACUCUCUCUGACACGUAUUUUUUUAUUCAUUUCCAUUAAAAAGAAAUGGAUAAUGCAUUCCAACUACUAACCAAAACUAAUCCCAAGCAAUUUCAAAGCAAAAUAAAUUCCAGUAGUAAAGUUUGUGGUCACAUGUUCAAAGAGCAGAAUUAUAACUUCUUCAAAUCAAAAUCGACAGCCGAUUACCAAAUUCGUUUCUUGCAAUGAGCACACAUCAAUAACUCUAUUUAUUACUAAGAUUUUGCCUUUCGAAAAUGUAUGCAUAGAUUUAGGUCCCCAACACGAUUGUUGUUCAGAUUAAGAGAGCAAACUACUUCAUGAAAACUGAAAACAUACAUACACAAAAUCUAGUAGUCGGACUAAAAAGACUUGAACUCAAGAGUUCUCACUUGGAUAUUAUAAACAUAUUAUAUUAUCAAUCCUAUAUUUUUCAACGACAACAACAACGAUUAAGCAAACGCUUCCACAAACUCUCUCCCUCUCCAUAUAUGUCUGUUUUGACAUGAAGCGGUUCUCCCUUUCUUAUUUCGGUGGGUGAAUGGUAGCCGGAGAGGGUUGUGAGGUUCGAGGAAAAAGAGAAGCAGCCGCCGAGAAGCUAAAGAAAAGAGAAACAAAAUCGGCUCGGUGCCAGCAACCACAAGGUCUUGACUUUUCUGCUUCCAUCUCCGUCAAAUUACCAAAAACAUUAUAAACAUAUUAUAUUAUCAGUCCUAUAUUUUUCAAUUAAGUUAAUUUAAUCCAUUCAAUCAAUUUUGAUUGGAAAUCAUUGACAUGUAACAGACAUUAGCGUGAAUAAUAUUUUAUUUUUUAUUACUAGAUUUGACAGUAAAUUAUGAGAGAUUUAUAUUCAUUUGCACUGAUAUAUCAUAAAUACCAAACAAUUGACAUCAUAUUAUAUGAAAUUAUUUGGUGUUAUUACUAUAAUUUACCAUACAAUAAAUAUGAUAUAACAAAAUAUCUUAAUUAUAUAUCAUAUUUUAUCAAAUCCUAAUUUGGUUAGAAAUUUAAACGAUCAAACGCAAUCAAUAGGGGUGGAAGAAGUAUUUGACUAGCGCUUGAGAUAAUGAAUUUCUCUUAUACCAAUUACAAAAAUUGAAUAUCCACAGAAGAAAGAAGGCCCUUACUUUGAGACGCUGGCGGUCCUGUCAUAGCUUUCCUUCCAAGUUGGUCAGAAUUUAGGCCCAAUUUCCGUUUCCGCUUUUCUGCCUGCCGAAUAGGCAUUUCCCAUCUUUAUCAACCAAGAAAUAAGAUGCUGACAGGGAGAUCAAGCCUACUUUUGCGACUAGAACAAAUGAUUGGCUGAAUCCAGAAAGCAUGUAUGCAAUCCCCACAUGAUCUCGAACCACAUCGUCCCCAAUCGAUUCUUUACUAGAAAAGAGCAACGCUCACAAAAAAGAACUCCUCACCUUCUCUCCCAUCCCUCCACUCCUGGUGUCUGAAUCAGUUCUGGCCUGAGAGAAAGGCGCGAAGAGCACCGUUCCUGGGAAGAAUGGACAAGAACCUGUCUGGAUCCCGAUAGAAAUAUCAUUAAUUCCAUCGGAGUUUUUACUAAAUAAAAAGGUCCACCUCAGUCAGCUCGUGCUCACAAAAACGAAGUACUCACAUUCGCUACACUCUCGGUGUCUGAAUCAGUGCUGGACGGAGAGUGCCAGUUGAACACCAUUCUCGAGAAGGAUCGGCAAAAAUCUAUCUGGAUCAAUUCUGAAACUGACGGGAAUUUAGGAUCCACAGCAACGAAGGUGUGGCAGAUAUAUGUGAGUUUCCAGAUUUGCGAGGUACGCGUUCUGAUUCUGAUGCAUCAAGAGGGAUGGAAACUUACUUGUUGAAAUAGACAAUUGAAAGGAAAAAGAAAGGAAGUGUGCUUUUUCGAAGAAACUGCGGAAGCGGACUCAGUCAACCUGGGCCGAAAUUUGUCACUCCUUACAGGCCGGGCAUCAUUCAUGUCCUCUCAUUCUGAAGCUUUUGUAGUCGAAGUAAGGGUGUUUUCGGAAGGGGGAAAAAAGGUACGGGUGUUUCGUGGAAAUUUCUCCACGGAAGAAAUAUCGUUAACCGAAAAUAAUUGAGACAGGUUUUGCACCAGACAGGAAACAUUACAAGUGACUAAGAAAAUUAAUAACUUACUGCGCUGGAAUUUAAUCAUCAAUAAAACUUGAAAACAUAAAGAUAUUACGACAUAACACUAAGGAUAAAGAUAUACGCCAUAAUUUAAUUGACAGUGCAUAUUUGAAAACUACAACUAAGAAACAAGCCAGGAUUUAAUCGACAACACAAAUUGAGAAAAUAAAAGUAAAGUGCAAGUAAAGUAAUUUUGUUUAAUUUAUACAAGAGGCUUCUAUUAGACGAGCGAUGAUAUCUAUAGUGCAUAUGCCAUAUUUGUUCCUCAGCAGUUUUUUAGCAAUUGUACCCAUGUUCCUCUAUAUUCAAAAAUCCUGUGCCUAGAUUCUCACGAGGCCAUGAUCUUAUCUUCAUAUUGUCGUUUCUUUAAAAAUGGGUGCUUAUUGUUACUGGACCUUAAUCACUUCGUUUUUCAAAAACUUCAAAUUUGUACCUAUAGCUUGAUGCCCCUUAUAUGUUUAUCUUUCUCCUGACACCUUGAUAACUUGCCAUUCUUGCUUAAUCGACAUCCUUAUCAAUUGUUAUUAAUCAUACAUUAUCCUAUAUCAACAACAAUCGGUGACAAAUCUUCGAUGUGCACCAAUACCAAUACCAUGUGGUCAUCAACGGUGGGUCAUGUGCUUGACAAUAUUUGAUGCUUCAAUCGUGUGUCUACUCAUAUCAACAACCCGGUUUUUUUUUUUUUUUUUUGUGUGCAAAUAAAGGGAAGUUGAUGACUUAAUCUUGAUUGGUCCCAGCUCACCAACAGCACAAAUCUUCACGAUGAUUAUGUGCAUGUCAUAUGCCAUAUUUCACGCCAUGGUCGAGGGCAUUUUUAUCAUAAAAUUCCUUUUUUUUUUUUGCCAAUUGGGGAGGAUUAUAAAAAAAGUCCUAAAAUUAUUGUAAUUAUGUCAAUUCAGUCAUAAACUUUUUUCUAAUUAAAUCUUAAACAUUUUGUAUUUGUACCAAUUUAGUUCAUCUGAUCAAUUUUGGUUAGAAAUUAUUAACAUAGAUGUUAGCUCAGUAAGCAUUAAUAUGGACAAUUUUUAAUAAUAUGUUUUUUAAAAUUAUUUAUUAAUUCUUUUCUUUCCUUUAUUUCGUUCCUUUCUUCUUCUUUUUUCUUUCCUUUUUCUUCUUCCUCUAGUCAAUCGCUGACCACUAGCUAGAGGCAAGGGCGACUAGGUCGACCUCGCUGAUUCUUGCAAGGUUGAGCCUCGCAGGUCACCUCACCUCCGGCUAGUCGUUGGCUUUCAUUCCGAGUCAAGGCAUAUUGGAGUUUUCUGGCUUUUCAUCCUUAUACAUCAUUCUGCUGUUGGUGUGCAGCCGUUAGCAUGUGCAUAGGAAGAAAUUACUCGGUGAACUACUCUUGAGUCAAGGCAUAUUGGAGUUAAAAAUAUGCAGAGAAAAUUAUCCAAAUUCAUCAAGACACAAUAGAACCUAAUUUUAGAGUAAUGCUAAGCGUGGAAUAUGCUAAAGGCAAACUAUCAUCUACGUCACAGGUCCAAUUCUUCUUGACGAUUAUCACCUUGUGGAGAAACUUGCCAACUUUGAUAGGGAGAAAAUUCCGGAGUGUUGUCCAUGCCAGGGGAGCCAGUGCAAAGGGAUUCUUUGAGGUCACUCAUGACAUUUCUCACCUUACUCGUGCCGAUUUCCUUCAGGCACCAGGAGUUCAAACACCUGUGAAUGUCCGUUUCUCCAUCCUCAUCCACGAAAGGGGUGGCCCUGAAACCCUGAGGGACCCUCGGGGUUCUGAUGUGAAGUUCUAUACAAGAGAGGUAAGGGAGACAUGAAUGUGCAGCAUGGACGAGCACGAGUAUGAUGCUCCCUGUGAUGAAUCCUUUCACAGGUGGCCUAAACUCAACCGAUGCAUAUCGCAGUUCUCUUGUCCACAUUGCAUACAUUUGUUUUGCUGCACUUUGCUGUGUGAUCUUACCUUUUCCGUUACUACAGGGUACCUUUGAUCUCGUGGGAAACAAUUCCCCGUCUUCUUUAUCAACGAUGGGAUGAAAUUUCCAGAUAUUUUUCAUGCACUUGAACCAGACCCCAAAUCCCACGUCCAGGAGAACUGGAGGAUCCUUGACUUUUUCUCCCACCAUCCCGAGAGCUUUCGCAUGUUCACCUUCCUCUUUGAUGACAUUGGUAUUGCACAAGAUUGCAGGCACACGGAGGGCUCUGGAGUUACACCUACACUUUUAUCAACGAGGCUAGAAAAGCGCAUCAUGUGAAGUUCCACUGGAAACCAAUUUGCGGGGUCAAGAGCUUGCUGGAGGAAGAGGCAAUUAGAGUUGGUGGAUUCAAUCACAGCCAUACAACUCGGGAUCUUUAUGAUUCCAUUGCUGCCGGAAACUAUCCUGAGUGGGAACUUUUCAUUCAGAUUGUCGAUCCUGAUCAUGAAGACAAAUUCGACUUUGACCCACUUGAUAUGACUAAGACCUGGCCCGAAGACAUAUUGCCCCUAAUGCCAGUUCGCCGCUUGGUCUUGAAUAGGAACAUUGAUAACUUCUUUGCUGAGAAUGAACAUCUUGCAUUUUGCCCUUCAAUUGUGGUUCCCGG
rnacentral:lncRNA from 1 species